rnacentral:tRNA from 1 species
AAAAAAAUAAGUUAAAAAAAUAAACUUUUAAGUUUCAAACUUAUAAAUAUAAAUUAAAACGUUUAUUUUUUUUA